rnacentral:rRNA from 1 species
AUGGAUGAUGUGGACGAUGUCCUAAAGACUGUCAACUUCUUUAGGGAGAUGAAAGCUAUAAACAGAGAAUUCUUCUGUGACAUGCAACUUGAUGAGUCCGACAGAGUUAAGAACAUAUUCUGGGCGAACACAAGCUGCCGAGGGGCGUAUCAGGACUUCGGUGACUGCGUAACGUUUGACACCACAUAUAAGAACAACAAGUACCAUAUGCCACUUGAGGUGUUUGUGGGUACUAACAACCACUUACAGACUACAUUCUUUGGUUUCACCCUGAUAAGAGAUGAGGAUGCAGAUUCAUUCAGAAGGUUGUUCAAGACAUUUUAA